GAACGCACAUUGCGCCCUCUGGUAUUCCGGGGGGCAUGCCUGUUCGAGCGUCAUUAUAACCACUCAAGCUCUCGCUUGGUAUUGGGGUUCGCGGUCUCGCGGCCCCUAAAAUCAGUGGCGGUGCCUGUCGACUCUACGCGUAGUAAUACUCCUCGCGAUUGAGUCCGGUAGGUUUACUUGCCAGCAACCCCUAAUUUUUACAGGUUGACCUCGGAUCAGGUAGGGAUACCCGCUGAACUUAAG
rnacentral:misc_RNA from 1 species